UGGGGAAUCUUGCACAAUGGGGGAAACCCUGAUGCAGCGACGCCGCGUGAGCGAUGAAGGUUUUCGAAUCGUAAAGCUCUGUCCUAUGGGAAGAUAAUGACGGUACCAUAGGAGGAAGCCCCGGCUAACUACGUGCCAGCAGCCGCGGUAAUACGUAGGGGGCGAGCGUUGUCCGGAAUUACUGGGCGUAAAGGGUUCGCAGGCGGCAUGACAAGUCCGAUGUAAAAGGCGAAAGCGCAACUUUCGUAAGCAUCGGAAACUGUCAAGCUUGAGUGAAGGAGAGGCAAGUGGAAUUCCUAGUGUAGCGGUGGAAUGCGUAGAUAUUAGGAGGAAUACCGGUGGCGAAGGCGACUUGCUGGACUUCAACUGACGCUGAGGAACGAAAGCGUGGGUAGCAAACAGG
rnacentral:rRNA from 1 species